rnacentral:rRNA from 1 species
AACGCAGCGAAGGGCGAUACGUAAUAUGAAUUGCAGGUUUUCGUGAAUCAUCGAAUCUUUGAACGCACAUUGCGCCUUUUGGUAUUCCAGAAGGCAUGCCUGUUUGAGCGUCAUUUCUUUCUCAGCUGUCAUAUUUUCUUAUGACGACUGGUAUUGAGUGGUACUCUUUGCAGGGUUAACUUGAAAUAAGUGUAGCGCGAGCGGUGACAGCCGAUCUUGCCGAGAUAAUGUAUUAGGUUCUGCCAACUCGUUAGCUCAGUCAGACAAGCAGUCGCCAGCAACUCCGCUUUCCUUUCACAAAGUUUGACCUCAAAUCAGGUAGGACUACCCGCUGAACUUAA